rnacentral:rRNA from 1 species
GACGAACGCUGGCGGCGUGCUUAACACAUGCAAGUCGAACGGAAAGGCCCUGCGUUUGUGGGGUGCUCGAGUGGCGAACGGGUGAGUAACACGUGAGUAACCUGCCCUUGACUUUGGGAUAACUUCAGGAAACUGGGGCUAAUACCGGAUAGGAGCUCCUGCUGCAUGGUGGGGGUUGGAAAGUUUCGGCGGUUGGGGAUGGACUCGCGGCUUAUCAGCUUGUUGGUGGGGUAGUGGCUUACCAAGGCUUUGACGGGUAGCCGGCCUGAGAGGGUGACCGGCCACAGUGGGACUGCGAUACGGCCCAGACUCCUACGGGAGGCAGCAGUGGGGAAUAUUGCACAAUGGGCGGAAGCCUGAUGCAGCAACGCCGCGUGCGGGAUGACGGCCUUCGGGUUGUAAACCGCUUUAGCCUGUGACGAAGCGUGAGUGACGGUAAUGGGUAAAGAAGCACCGGCUAACUACGUG